UGCAUCUCACAAGGCAGUACAGAAAGAUAAGGUGUGACUAUGCACUAUUUUUCCCCUUUCAGGGUCUCUACUGGUGCUCAGGGAAUUCAGUAUGUGGUAUAAUGGCUGCACAAGUAGGGGAAGGGCACCCAUGCAGAACUGACAAUCCUUAUCUACAUUAAUGGGAGCAUCCUGCACCGAUUUCUAUACCAGAUUUAACCAACAUAUGGCAUGCAAAAUACAGGCCAAUGUUGGAGACCCAGGAAACCAAGGAGAGCGCCCACAGAAUUUGAAGUUUUCCUGGUGACCCUUAUCCAGAUCUAAGCAGUGUCAUGUGGGUCUCUGGGAACAGAACUGAAGAGAUAAUUGGCAGCUGCGCUCAAGAACAACUGUAACAUCAGCAAAAUAGAAGUCAGAGAUGACCUGAGUACAAAAUGGCUGUUGAACUGAAUUGAAAACACACAUUUCAUCCAGUGUUUUCUUAGCAUAGUAUAUCACUAUUAUGAAAGUGGCACCGAGACUACUUAAAGAGAGAGAUAAAAUGAGUGUGCUCUAUAGCCUUAUCUAACAACCAGCUGGCUUUUAGCUCAUGCGGUGGAGGUUCAUGCAUUUUGCUUCAGAGGCCCCGGGUUCGAUCCUGCCAGCUGACAACAAGACAUAGAAUUCAUAUCUGAUAGAUGACUUACAUUUCAGAUGUUUAGGCUCCAGUCUGCUAGUAUACACACCUAUGUUAGUAUGGAUUUCUCAGUGAGGUUUGUGAUGAUGUAUCCUGAUGCAGAAUUUUGGCCUUAAGUGGGG